rnacentral:tRNA from 1 species
GGGCCGCUAGCUCAACGGUAGAGCAACGGACUUUUAAUCCGCUGGUUCCGGGUUCGAGCCCCGGGCGGCCCA